GGCCUCUUUUCCAGGAUUCCAGGACAGGGUUCUUUCUAAUAGGUUACCCCAGUAUGAUCUGGAAUUUUAAAAAGAAGUAAAAGCAGUUGAAGACCACCCACUUGCUAUAAUUUGAAAGGCUUGUUCUCCCCUCCCUUCAUCUCUUUGAAUCCUGCUUCACAGACAUUGUUGUCUUUGGGACCAAUACAUUUCUUCUAUCUGCAUAUCUGGGUAGAAGCUCUCAUGGAAGAAAAAAGAAAAGCCCCAUAGGUGAAGGGGAGUGUGCCUGCCAAGUUCCUUGUAAUAACUUCACACGCAGAGUAUUUUCUGAAAUGGAUCUGCUAGAGUCAUCUCAUGGAAUCUUCUCAUUCUUCUGGAGUCUCCUCAUUUUACAGGAAAAACAUCCAGGCAAGUGGACAGCAUUUGCAACAGCCCAGCAAUAAGAAGGACCAUAUUCUACUUGGGAAAAGGUAAAGUCGUUUCAUAUGGACGGAGCCUGCCAGGAAACCUGUCAUUCAACCCUUUGCAAUAAAACAGCUCCUCAUGAAUGAAGCAAAAUAAAUCAGAAGUUGUGGGCUUUUAAACUCACUAAAUGAAAGCACAGCAUGCAUGCAGCCUCCCUCCAAAUUAAUCACCAGAUUAAAUGCAAGAUGUGCACACCAAAUCAAUAGCUUGUGACGGGGACCUCCUGCCUGUGCUUCAGGAAAAUUCCAUUUCCUUUCAGAUGUUGUCGCUUGAAAUGUCAGGAAGUUUCCAUUCAUCACCCGCCCUUGAAAAUGCCACCAUCACCAUACUUCAUGUUUCCUUGCUUUCUUUCUUCAGAGGAAUCCAAGCACCUUGCAGAGGGAGCCCACUCCUUGUCACAG
rnacentral:lncRNA from 10 species